rnacentral:misc_RNA from 1 species
AAAAAGACAAUGGCUGGACCUAGCAUAACUCAGUUUGUAGUACUGAAAAUGAUUUAGAAGAAGCAUAUCCUAAAAUGAAAUGAAUGCAGGAAAAAUAUUCAUACAGCCAUUUCAACUAAAUUGGAAUUAAGGCUUAUUUAAGUUGAAAUGAGUAUCUCAGGAUGUAUUCAUAAUUUAUAAGCUUGAUAUUUAACUUGAAAAAUGCCAAAAUGGAUGAUACAGCUAAUGCAGACUAAAGAAUUUGACUAAUAGAAGGUGUGUUGAGAAGGGUGCAUCUAACACAGAAUUUUCUUUUCUUCAUAUAAAAUUACAACUUCAGCAAGGACGCAUCACCACUUUUCUCUAAUUAUUCUCACUUUCUCAGAAACUCAUAUUUGUCAGUAACUGUAUAAAAUUAUCAUUCAUGGUGACAGUCUCUUGCAUCCCUGUCAAUGUCAUGGACACAGGCCAAGCCUCCAUUUGCUUCCCUCUUGGUGAGAGAAGUGUGGGGCAAAGAUUGUGAAACCUAACAGUUUGGGGUUUCUCCAGCUUAAAUAUAAGUUUCUUUCAUCCUCCAUACCUUCAAUUGCAUACACCUCAUUUGCUUUCAAGAAACUUUAUAUUAGCCCCAUGAUUAAAAUUCAGGUGCGCAACUAGGAAUCAAAUUCCAGUCUUUCUGUGGAAAGAGAGCAUCCAUUGGAAAGUAGAGGUUUCACUUAUUAAGCAUAAGUUAGACUAACAAAAAAGGAUCCAGAAGGAAUAUUAGUAUCAUGUAGAUUCUCUCAUUUGCAAUCACUACUACUGUUCAACUUCAUUUCUCAAAAAAAAGUGGCUUUCAGCAUUCAAUUAUGAAAAAUCAAAAUAGUUUACGGAUUCAAACAAUUUCCAUAAUAAUAACUAUCAUUCACUCAUCUUUAUGAAUUUACCUCAACUGAGUUGAUUUCAUAAAUUUGACCUACAGUAAAUUCUAUGUCCAAUGCCUGAAUGCAAGCUUCAGCGACUACAAGUCUGCUUACCUCUCCCACAAGUUUAUCACCUUGAUCAAUAAGAACUGCAUGCCGUUUCCCAGCAGUAGCUUUGAGCAGGGUAUUUAGAUCAUAUGAUGUGUAAGGUCCAUCUGUUAAUCUACCAGGUCUAAUGAUGGUGAAUGGAAGACCAGACUGACGAACAAAAUCCUCCCCCAUCUUCUUAUACUUGAGAACACCAAAGAGAUUCAUAAUGCUGCAAAGAAAAAAUUUGAAACAAAUAAAUUUAAUCCAAGCACACAGAACCAUAGCAGAUAAUUUCAUUUGCAAUAUUCUAACGGGAAAUUCAAGUGGUUGAUAUUCACUUCCAGAAGCAUGUUGAAGCAAUUCCACAGAAUUCAUUAUAUGAUAAAGAGGGAAAAUAGUUAGAAGCAUAAUAUAGAAUAAAAAAAGGUGCACAGCUUGAUAACCAAAUUCUUUAAUAAGCAGAAAACAUUCCAUGCCAGAACAUAAAUGCGUGUUCAAAUUCAAAACCGAAUACUGGGUACAGUCAUACACUUAUCCACCGAAGUUCCAGGUUAUGUUGCCUCCUAAAACAUUCAAGGACAAAAAAGGAGGUUGCUUUUCAUCAAAAACAAAUUUUCCAUUGUUUUUGCUUUUACUGUCAAGUAUCAAGGGGAAAACGACAGUAUUAUCACUUCAUUGCAGCCGUUUCAUACAUCAUUCACGUCAAACAUAACAUACUGAAACUAAUUUUCCCUAUUUUUAUAUCCCUCCAAAAUAAGUGUAAUGGAAUUAUCAAAUCUCAUGAGUUUCUGCAAGAGCAUAAUAUCUGUGCAUAUCACUAAGCAAGAAAGAGAUAUCAUGAACACAAACCAAACAUCUCCUAAAAAUUGGAAAAACCUUCUUUUUUAAUUUUCUUUUCCUGAAAUUAUGCAUAGGUAUACUCACCAUCUAAAGCAGGUACUUAUAGUGUAUAUGUUUAUAUUGACAUCAAACCAAGAUUAAGCCACAAGUUCAUUGCAAAACCAAAUAAGCAAGUCUUACCUCCAAGGCAAUUCAUUGAACUUGGUUACACCAACUGAUGAAACAAGAAUGAUUCUCUUCAAUGACAAAGGCAAUGCAGAAACGAGAUUUCUCACACCCUCCCAAUCUUUAGAUUAAAAAAUAAAAAGUCAAUGGAAUUAAAGGUGUAUACUUACCUUUCUGUGGCUUACAUAUAUUUUCAUGACAGGAAGGCAAAAGAAGAGUCUACUUUUAGAUAUGCUAAACAAUGUUAGCUAAAAUGAAAUAUACUCAGGUAGAGUGCACAGAACCGCAAACAAUGGAGUUAUUCACAAUCAAUUCCAGUUUGUCCUGAGAAUAGAUUCAGGAUUGAUCAACCAGAAAUCAUGUCCUCAACCUUAUAUCAUCAAGGAACCAAGCUAGAUAGGUCUGCACUCUGCUUGAAUAUAGGCUUAUCUCAAUGUAAAUAGAUGCUUAGAAUGCUACGAAAAGGUACUUCAACUUUGGGAUUCUGAAUCUCAAAUACUGAAAAAGCUCAGAUAGGAGCCAUCAAAGAUGUGUACAGAUAUUAUUGUUUUCAUCUCAAAAGAAGAAUGCUAGUUUCACAGGGGAUUUGCUAUUACCACCAUUACUUUGCACUGAUUGUGUGGGUUUAUAGUAUUUGAUCUGCAUGAAGUGUGAUCACUAUCUCUGACUCAGUCUCUAAAAUGAACUAAACUUGCAAAUGGUAACCAUCCAAGUCAUUCCUUGGUCAAUGACGUCAUAAAUGUGUUUUGGCCCAUUCUAUUAAAUGACAAAAAUCCUUGUUUAUGGCUUCUGAUCUUUGUUUUGUUGGGCUGUUAUUUCUUUUUCCUCAGAAUUAUGCAGGCCCAUGGAUUAACCUGUCUGAACUUUAUACAGAAAUGUUCUUCAUGUUGAGCAUCAGUACAGAGAUCAUUUUCUGGUAAUAAGCUAAAUUAGAGAGGGCUACAUAUAAUAUGCUUAUAUUUCAUUCUAAAAUUUCAUUAAUUAUGAGGUAAAAACUUCUGACCUACUCUUUCUGGUGUAUUAUCUCCAUCCCAUCGCUUUGAAGGAAAGGCUGUUGUUCCAGUGCAGCAUAUCACAUGUGUGACUCCCUCAGAUAUUGAUGGAUCUAGAUCCUCUGGAUUCCGAGUGUCCCCUUUAAGUACCUGCAAUGUCUCCUCAUCUUGUUUGCCAAACAGUGCAGUUGCUUUUUCAGGAUCUCGUAGUAAUAAGCGUGACUUAAUAUUCCGGUCAAGCAAUGAUGCCACUACCAACUGCCCAACACCGCCAGUACCGCCAACAACAAGAACGAGCUUGGAGGAUGAAGGAAGGGUAGUUUUAGAAUCAAGGGUAGAAACUGAAUUUGGUGAUUGAAUCACUUCUUCUUUCGCAGCGUGAACAACUAAUGAAGACGAAAAUACUCUUCUGGAGCUUGAAAGGAACUUGAAAGAGCAAUACCCAGGAGAGAUAUUCAGUGAAAUUCUUUGCGGGAACUUGGAAAAUUUUCUACGUGCGAGGGGAAAGUCAGGAAUGGGAGUGAAGAAGAGCUUGCAAGCCAUGAAGGCAUUAGCAGGAAGCAAGCAAUGGUCGUGUCCACAAGAAACGAGAGGGAGGUAAAAGCAGUUGGAUUUUGUGGCCGUAUAUCUCCCACGGAGUCAGCCCGCCAAGAACUGGGUUACAA